rnacentral:rRNA from 1 species
GACGAACGCUGGCGGCGUGCUUAACACAUGCAAGUCGAACGAUGAACCGGGUGCUUGCACUUGGGGAUUAGUGGCGAACGGGUGAGUAACACGUGAGUAACCUGCCCUGGACUCUGGGAUAACCCCGAGAAAUCGGAGCUAAUACCGGAUAGGACCUUUCCUCGCAUGAGGUUUGGUGGAAAGUUUUUCGGUCUGGGAUGGACUCGCGGCCUAUCAGCUUGUUGGUGAGGUAAUGGCUCACCAAGGCGUCGACGGGUAGCCGGCCUGAGAGGGUGACCGGCCACACUGGGACUGAGACACGGCCCAGACUCCUACGGGAGGCAGCAGUGGGGAAUAUUGCACAAUGGGCGCAAGCCUGAUGCAGCGACGCCGCGUGCGGGAUGACGGCCUUCGGGUUGUAAACCGCUUUUAGUAAGGAAGAAGGGGAGCUUGCUCCUUGACGGUACUUGCAGAAAAAGGACCGGCUAACUACGUGCCAGCCGCCGCGGUAAAAC